rfam:Oryza meridionalis cultivar OR44 (W2112) chromosome 3, whole genome shotgun sequence.
AAUAAGUACAGUUUUGUAUUAUUCAUCUCCAACGUUUAACCGUUCGUCUUAUUUAAAAAUUUUUUAUGAUUACUAUUUUUAUUGUUAUUAGAUGAUAAAAUAUGAAUAAUAUUUUAUAUGUGACUAAUUUUUAAAAUAAAAUCAUAUUUUUUUAAAUAAGACAGACGGUCAAACGUUGAAUACGGAUUUCCACGGCUGUAUUUAUU